GUAACAUUUCCCAGCGCUGCCACAGGCGCGUCUCGCCCUGUCCAACGCGGAGCCCGAAGAAUUACUAAGAAACCGAGGUCUGAAGGAGGGAAGAGGUGACGGGCUCGAGGCCACACGGUGGGCCAGGCUGGGCCCGGCUGCACGCCGGCUACCGGGGCCCAGCCCUCUGCACGCCUCCCGCAGCCUCAGUUUCCCUGUCCGUGGUACUGAGGAUGCUCGGGCCUAGAAGUUCAGGGCUGGAGGCCCAGGGACCGUCGAGGGAGGGGCAUCAUCCCCGCCAUGGGGCCGCCGCAACUGCCCAGAGCACAGGCCAAAGACCCCUGAGGCCCCCUCCUCCUUCAGAGCAUGCACGUCGCAAAUUCUCAAUGACUGUUUGGAGGAAUGAAUAAAUGAAUUGUGAACAAAUGGUCUGAAGAUUCCAGAGGCUUCUGCCAUCACUCUGUGUGACUUCAACAUUCUACCUGCAUGACCUAUGCAGCACCUGGCCGCUGUUACCUUGCCACCCUCACUGACAUCUUCUCUGCAUAGGCCUUCCACCAUGCCCUGUACUUUCUCCCCACUAGAAAUAGCCCUGGCUCUGAAAUGUGUUUUAAUCAUCCCACUUUGGGUCCACCAGUUCCUAGCCUUUGAGCUUAGGCCUCUCCUCCAGGACCCUCCCUGGCUACGAUUUCCCAACCCCUCUCGACCUUCCAUUCACUGACCUUGCCACUUUCUUGCCUCUUGUCUGCACCUCUCCCCAUCCCUAGUGUGGAUUCCAUCCCCUUGUGAACGCUGCCACCCGUCCUGGCAGAGACUCAGUACUUCCACUCUCUGAAUGCAUUUCUUCUUCCUAGGCACACCAGAAGACUACAUUUCCUAGCCCCCCACCCCCUUGCAGUGUCUGGGACCAUGUGACUCCUUAAUUAGGUCACUUCUCUCUCCUGGGAGGCCCUCUCUGCCCUCUCUAAGUCUAACUAGUGGCAAAGGAUCUAAGGGAAGAAACCUGGCAGAGUUACUAGUCCCAAGAAGCCUGGGUCCCUGAAUCACCACAUGGAAGUCUACGCGCCCACCACCUGAAUGGACUAAGGAAGCUGCAGGAUGAAGACAACAGCAUCACAAGGAGGAAGCCAGGAUCCCUGUGUUACCACAAGGAGGAGAGAUGCCUAACCAAGACCGUCUGCAAGGAUUUUGUGUGAGCCAGAAGCAGAGCUGUAUGGUGUUCAGCCACUGAGAUUUGAGGGCUGUUUGUUACAGCAGUUGACCUAUCCUGACUGACACAUCACAUCAUUCCUUUCCCCACCAUGUGUCUAACAUGCUACCAAAUUGAAUUUUAAGUAAAUUAGUACUUAUAAAUUAAGUACAAAUGCUUUUCAAAUUCACAUGAAUCUUUGGUAAAUAAAACUGGUUGUAAAAUUAUUGAUAAA